GCUUAAGGAGGUGACACACUCAUACGUACGUGACAAACAUCACUCAAAUGCCCCUCUCCUUUUCAUUAUAAGUACCAAAAAACACUGUUCAGGUUUCAGUGUUUCAUCGUUUUACAAAAAAAAUUGUUAAUUUCCUCACUACUUCUAAAGGGUUGUUCGGUUGGUCUCUCGUCUUCUUACUGCUGUCAUUAUGACUACUUCAAAGCGCCUAGCAGACAGGAAAAUCGCAAGGUUUGAAAGGAAUAUUAGCAAAAAAGGAUCAGAAAGCACUAAGAAAGGCUACCCUGUGGGCCCAAUUGUUCUUGGAUUCUUCAUCUUUGUUGUCGUUGGAUCCUCUCUGUUUCAGAUCAUUAGGACAGCUUCAAGUCGUGGGAUGUUCUAAGGCUGGUGGAAUAAUGUUUGUCAAGGAUUACAUUUGUUAUAUAUAUAUAACGAAUGUUAUAUGUAUAGCAAGUAGGUAGCUAGAAAACAUAAUAAAUAUUUUACUUUACAUCGGCUUUGGUUGAUAAAGAGUGAAAUUAGAACUUAGCUUUGCUAAUAGAGGAAU
rnacentral:sRNA from 1 species